rnacentral:rRNA from 1 species
AGAGUUUGAUUCAUGGCUCAGAAUGAACGCUGGCGGCGCGCCUAAUACAUGCAAGUCGAGCGAGAAGACGUAGCAAUACGUUUGUAAAGCGGCGAACGGGUGAGGAAUACAUGGGUAACCUACCCUAGAGUGGGGAAUAACUAGCCGAAAGGUUAGCUAAUACCGCGUACGCUUCUUGGACUUCGGUUCAGGGAGGAAAGCGCUACCGAGGGUAGCGCGCUCUUGGAUGGGCUCAUGUCCUAUCAGCUUGUUGGUGAGGUAAUGGCUCACCAAGGCUUCGACGGGUAGCUGGUCUGAGAGGACGAUCAGCCACACUGGCACUGCGACACGGGCCAGACUCCUACGGGAGGCAGCAGUAAGGAAUAUUGCGCAAUGGGCGAAAGCCUGACGCAGCGACGCCGCGUGGGGGAUGAAGGUCUUCGGAUUGUAAACCCCUUUCAGGAGGGAUGAUGGAAUGGGGUAACCCAUUCGGACGGUACCUCCAGAAGCAGCCACGGCUAACUUCGUGCCAGCAGCCGCGGUAAUACGAAGGUGGCAAGCGUUAUUCGGAUUUACUGGGCGUACAGGGAGCGUAGGCGGUUUGGUAAGCCCUCUGUGAAAUCUCCAGGCUUAACCUGGAAAAGUCGGAGGGGACUGCUGGGCUAGAGGACGGGAGAGGAGCGCGGAAUUCCCGGUGUAGCGGUGAAAUGCGUAGAGAUCGGGAGGAAGGCCGGUGGCGAAGGCGGCGCUCUGGAACGUUUCUGACGCUGAGGCUCGAAAGCGUGGGGAGCAAACAGGAUUAGAUACCCUGGUAGUCCACGCCUUAAACUAU